rnacentral:lncRNA from 1 species
AGCAGAGCCUGUGUCUCAGAGGUGCAAUUAAGGGACCUUAUGCAAACUGUUGUUUUCUAUAACCCAUGGUUCCCAGAAGAAGGCUUGCCAAACCUAGAGCUCUGGGAACAAGUGGGGAGAAAUCUUAACAUCAUGCACAAGGGCAACGGGUCCCAGUAACAUCUUUAACGUUAUGGGCCUUAGUCAGGGCUGCUUUGUCCCCACUCUACACAGAAGAGCCUAAAAAGGGAAGGGAGGAAGAACCAUCAUCUACCUUACCACCUCCUCCUUCUCCCUCAGCCCCGCCGUUACCGAGUAAAGGUGCCACAGAGGAGACAAAUAUUUUCCCUGAGCCCUCUCUCCCAAUAUAUUGGAAAAAAUACAAGGGAUACACUACUGUUAUGGGACCCUGUCUUAGUCAAGUGGAAUUAGAAGGGAGCUCUUGACCUGCCCAGUGAUGCAAGAUCAACAAGACAAUCAGUAAGAAACGUACAAACAUUAAGAAGAGCCUAUUCAGAAAAGACAGUCUUCCAGUUACCUUAUAAAGGCAAGGAAGAACUGGUAGUUUGAAAUAAAAUAAUUUCAAAAAGUGCUGUACCCCCUGAGUAUUCUGCUGUAAUAAGGAUGAAAUCCCAUAAGUCAAUUUUUUCUCGGGAUUGUGAAGUUCACUGCACACAACCAGCCUUAUUUUACAUCUCUUUCUUUUAUUUCAACCAUCUGGGGACUGGGCAGAAGUCAUGGUCAGAGGGGCACAUAUGUAUUGCUUUGAUGAUGGGGGCAGAGAACAAACAGGAAGAACUGGGAAAUGAAAAUUGCUUUACUUCUUAUAUUCUGACUAGAAAGGCAACCCAAAUGGGAAUCAUAACAGGGAUAGUUCAGUGGCAAAAAGACACCCUUAAAAAUAGAAGCUAGAAGUUAAAGGAGGGGUGACAUCACACUUUUAGAGUUGACAUCAGAGGAAGUUGCAUCUCUUGGUGCCAUGUUAUACAUGCACCGUCGGGGCAGCAGAACUGAUUAGUGUGCCCAGUUGCACAAAAGGACUGUAAUGUGCAUGGGCCCCAGUGUUAGCCAUGUGACUCUGUUAAUGGAUCCAGCUUGAUCUUUACGCUCUUCAACUAAGCUAGUGCCCAAGCAGUUCUUGUAUUUCAGCUUAGAGGGGGUUCUGGAAAAGCUCUUGGUGAUAGCAUUUUUGGAGAACGGAGAGAAAAAAACAUUUCUAUUAAGUCUGCCUCAAAAAGUAGGAAUUUCAGGUCAAUGUUAAAUGCCUGGCAUGAGUUUUAUAUAUAUUUUUAAUAUUUCAGGCUUAUUUUACCAAAAGAAAGCUGGUGUAACACGUUCACAUCAGACAAAAUAGGUAUCAAAGCAAAAGGCAUUAGAGAUGAAGAGGAUCACAGCACAGUGGGAAAAGGUUCAGUUCAGAUAUAGGUACAUAUUAUAUAAAGCAAAAAUACACAGAAACAAAAGGAAAAUAAUUCGAUAUUUAAAGAUAUUAGGUUAAGUGAAAUUUUUAUAAGUCUUGAAAACAAAUCAGAAACAGGUGAGACACAGGAAAAUCAUUUUUAGCAACAAAGUACUAAGAGGGUGCAUGGACAAGGAAAACUUUUCCCUCCCUAAGCCCAUACCUCUAGUUGAUAAUCUGUUCCCAUCCCCAGGUCCCAGCAAACAUUCUAAGACCCAAGAACAGGUUUACUGGGAGGAAUUCGAGGCACUGCAGUUCAUGUGCUGAGUUAAAUAAGCUCUGGAAAUAGAAGCUGAAGAAUCACAAUACCCAAUCUAAUUUAACCAAAGUCUAAUUAGAGAAUUUACCAGAAAUUGAGAGACUUGCUAGACAUAAUUUCCUGUUAGGAAGUAGUAUUUUUCUCCUUUCAAAUUUUUAAAUGUUUGGUAUAAUCAGCAAAAUAGAAGUAAAUUAUCAAUUUAAGCUUAACAGAGAUAUUUUGUUAAGUAAUAUCACAGUACCUUAUAAAUAAAAAAUAUUAAUUAUUUCCAGUUAGUCACACGUAUUAUUACUAAUAAUGAGUAAAUACAAAAAUAUACACUCAAACAGAAAGAGCCAAACUGGCUCCCAUAAUAAUAGUAGGUAUUUUCCUAAGCCUUGUACACAGUAAUAAAUAAAUAAAUCUGCCACAUCUUUACCAUUCUUUAAAUGACAAGCUGGGUUUUGAUGAAUUCCACUUUUUCAGUCAAAAAUCAUAUUCAUGAUUUAAAUUGUGCUGUAUGAAAUUGUCCCUUUUAUUUCUGUAUAUUCUCAGAUGAGAUGCAUACAUAUUGGUUCAAGACCUCUUGUUGCCUCUUUUUAACAUUGUCUUUGUAUCACUCGCAGCCCCCAAACAACAGGUUAAAACCAGCCCAACUGGUUAGUAAGAUUGAUUGAGAAAAAAGAAAAAGAAAAAAGUCAAAAUAGUUUAUACAAUAAAACUAUUAGGAGACUAUGAAAAGUUCGCUAAUGCAUUCAAUAGAACCUGAAAAAGAGCUAAAUAUGUACCUGCAACAGAGAGGAGGAGACUGACUGGCAGGAGACCUUGCAACAUGCUGGGUGAUUCCAGGAGCACGGUGUCUGCUCUUCUCGCUCAGCUAUUAUGUGUCAGACACUGAGAUUGCAGUUGAAAAAACACAAUCAUGGCCGGGAGUGGUGGCUCAUGUCUGUAAUCCCAGCACUUUGGGAGGCUGAGGCAGACAGACUACCUGAGAUCAGAAUUUGAGACCAGCCUGCCCAACAUGGUGAAACCCCAUCUCUACUAAAAAAAAAAAAUUAGCUGGGUGUGGUGGUGGUCACCUGUAAUCCCAGUUACUCAGGAGGCUGAGGUAGGAGAACUGCUUGAUUGCUUGAACCCAGGAGGCAGAGGCUGCAGCGAGCUGAGAUUGCAACAACACACUCCAGCCUGGGCAACAGAGCGAGACAGUGUCUCAAACAAACAAACAAACAAAAAACACAAUCACUUUCAUUGAGAUGUUCACAAUCUGACAAAGAUAAGUUCAAUUACCAUAAAAUUGCACAGAGUGAGUACCACCUAUAAAUGAUCACAAUAUCACAAGGUGUUUAGUGUUACAAUAGAUUUAUCAAUAGAAGUCAGAGGUCUACACCAAACAGGGCAGGGAGUGCAUCCUGGUGGCAGGAGUCCUGGGAAAAGGACUCCCUAUUUCAUAAAUGGUGCUGGGAUAGCUGGCUAGCCAUAUGCAGAAGAAUAAAACUGGACCCCUACCUUACACCAUAUACAAAAAUUAACUCAAGAUGGAUUAAAGAUUUAAAUGUAAGACCUCAAAUUAUGGAAAACCUAGAAAAUGACAUUCUGGACAUUGGCCCUAGGAAACAAUUUAUAACUUAAGUCCUCAAAAGCAAUUGCAAUGAAAACAAAAAUGGAUGAGUGGGACCUAAUUAAAUUAAAGAGCUUCUGUAGAGCAAAAAGAAACUAUCAGCAGAGCAAACCAACAACCUACAUAACGGGUGAAAAUAUGAGCAAACUACACAGCUGACAAAAGUCUAAUAUCCAGAAUCUAUAAAGAACUUAAACAAUUGAACAAGCAUGAGAUAAGUAACCUCAUUUAAAAAUGGGCAAAAGGGUGGGUGCAGUGGCUCAUGCCUGUAAUCCUAGCACUCUGGGAGGCCAAGGUGGGCAGAUCACCUGAAGUCAAGAGUUCGAGACUAGUCUAGCCAACAUAGUGAAACCCCAUCUCUAUUAAAAAUACAAAAAUUAGCCACGUGUGGUAGGCACCUGUAGUCCCAGCUACUUGGGAGGCUGAGGCAGGAGAAUCACUUGAACCCGGAGGAGGAGGUUGCAGUGAACCAAGACUGCGCCACUGCACUCCAGCCUGGGUGACAGAGCAAGACUCCGUCUCAAAAAAAAAGAAAAAAAAAAAAAAAAAGGGUCAAAAGAAAUGAACAGACACUUCUCAAAAGAAGAAAUACAAGCAGUUAAAAAAACAUGUGAAAAAAUUGCCCAACAUAACUAAUUAUCAGAGAAAUGCAAAUCAAAACAAUGAGGUACCAACUCACACCAGCCAAAAUGGCUAUUACUAAAAAGUCAAAAAAUAACAAAUGCUGGUGAGGCCACAGAGAAAAGGAAACACACAAUGUUGGUAGGAAUGUAAAUUAGUUCAGCCACUCUGGAAAGCAGUUUGGAGAUUUCUCAAAGAAAUUAAAACAGAACUGUCAUUUGACCGAACAAUCCGUUUACUGGAUAUAUAGCCAAAAGAAAAUAAAUUAUUCUACCGAGAAGACACAUGCUUAUGUUCAUCACAGUACUAUCCACAAGAGCAAUGACAUGGAAUCAAGCUAGGUGCCCAUCAGUGGUGGAAUGGAUAAAUACAAUGUGGUACAUAUAUACCUUGGAAUACUAUGCAGCUAUAAAAAAGAAUUAAAUUGUGUUCUUUGCAGCACAUGGAUCACCUAGAGGCCAUUAACCUAAGUGAAUUAAUGCAGAAACAGAAAACCGGUACCUUACACCAUAUACAAAAAUUAACUCAAGAUGGAUUAAAGAUUUAAAUGUCAGACCUCAAACUAUGGAAAACCUAGGAAAUGACAUUCUGGACAUUGGCCCUGGAAACAAUUUAUGACUUAAGUCCUCAAAAGCAAUUGCAAUGAAAACAAAAAUGGACAAGUGGGACCUAAUUAAAUUAAAGAGCUUCUGUACAGCAAAAAGAAACUAUCAGCAGAGCAAACCAACAACCUACAUAACGGGCGAAAAUAUAAGCAAACUGCACAGCUGACAAAAGUCUAAUAUCCAAAAUCUAUAAAUACUGCAUGUUCUCAAUUAUACAUGGGAGCUAAACGCUGUGUACCCAUGGACAUAAAGAUGACAACAAUAGACACUGGGUACUGCUGGAGAAGGGAGGGAAGAGGGGAAAAGGCUGAAAACCUAGCUAUUGGAUACUAUGCUGAGUACCCGGGUGGCAGGAUUAUUUGUACCCUAAACCUCAGCAUCACGGAAUAUAUCCAUGUAACAGAUGGAUAUGUACCUCCUUGAAUCUAAAAUAAAAGUUGGAAAAAAAGAAUUAUGAGAAUAAAUAAGGACAAUAUAUUAUAGCACAUUAGUUUAUGGCUGGUAGUGUUUGGAAUUGUUGGAGCAAAGAAUGCCUGAGAGAAUGGGAAGAUAUCCUGCUAAGUAUUUGUGCUUGACUUUGACGCUGUGGUGAAUGGUCACCACUGAUGGGAUCGAAUGAGAAGUAUAACCUUCCUGCUUGCUUCUUGAGGAGGGGAGUGCCCUGGAAAUGGUGAAUGAUGACAGUCUGCAUGCUGAUCCAUGUGGAAUUUUAAAUUGGCACUUGUUCUUCGGCUCUUUUCAAUUCUCUUGUAGUCGUGACAUGCCUUUGAUCAGUUUGUUCCAGUUAUCAUUCUCAUAAUUUUUCAUCAUUCUUCAUAGCCCAGAGUUAUAAUUCCCUUUACUGUCAAAGAAUUUAUACCAAUCUCUAAAUGAAUUUUAUUUUCUGCUUCCCUGGUUAUUUCCUCAAAGUUGUAUCAAGUAAGCAUAAAAGUUGAAUUUGGGCAGUCAGUUUAAUUUUCCCUUUUGUUUCUUUGUGAUAAAUACAGCAUUAUCAUUGACAUCUUUCAUUGCCAUGACUUGUCAAACUCUUUGCCAGAAUAUAAAAUAUAAAUGGCAGAAAGAAGAGCUACAUGACUGAAAAAACAUAUAUAAUACAUGAAGAGGAGUACAGUAGAAUGAGAAAAAGCAUAAGGUAGCACUCAAAACCUGUGCUAAAACAUAUUUAACAAUGUUCUCUCUCUCUCUCUCUAUAUAUAUAUAUAAAAUAAAUUACACACAGGAAUAAUGCAUGCGUAUAUACAUAUCAUUACUAUUGACUCAUUACACACACACACACACACACACACACAGUCAUGGAUCACUUAACAAUGGGGAUACAGUCUGAGAAAUGUCAUUAAACGAUUUCGUUGGUUUGUGUUAGAGUAUACUUACACAAACCUAGAUGGUAUAGACUACCACACACCUAGGCUGUAUGGUAUAGCCUAUUGCUCCUAGGCUACAAACCUGUAUAGCAUGUUACUGUACUGUAUAGUGUAGGCAGCUGUAAUACAGUGGUAUCAUGAAACUAAAUAUAUCUAAGUAUAGAAAUGAUAUACAAUAUUAUAAUCUUAUAGGACCACAUCAUAUAUGCAAUCCAUCAAUGACCGAAAUGUCAUUUAUGUGGUACAUAACUAUGUAUAUACAUUUAUAUGUGUAUAUAUAUACACAUAUAAAUAUAUAUAAACCCUCCUUUUCUUUUUGAGAUGGUCUCGCUGUUGCCCAGGCUGGAGUGCAUUGGCAUGAUCCUGGCUCACUGUAACCUCUGCCUCCUGGAUUAAACCCUGUUUCUAUUAUAUACAGGUAUGUGCCACAUAAAUGACAUUUCAAUCAUCAAUGGAUUGCCCAGAUGAUGGUGGUACAUCACCACAUAUAAUUGUAUGUAUAUAUGUAUAUGUGUAUAAAAAUAUAUAUUUAGGAUAGUAUUUCAGAAAGAGAAAUAAUACAAGGUAUGAGUGCUGCAAAAGGAAGUAUGGAAUGGUGUAAAAUCAGAUGGAAAUUUCAGAACAAUUACCUUGGCAGCAGUGUAGAGAAUGACUCUAAAGCCUGAUUAGGGAAGAGAAAAGAUACCAGCUGUAAGUGAAAAUGAAAGAAAGCAAGAGUCUGAAUUUAAGCAGAAACAACAGGGAUGGAAAGAAGGGGAGAGAUUUGAGAAAUAUUUAUUAAGUAUAAUGGAGAGAUACAGUUAUUAAUUAGAUAUGGGGGUGCUGAAAUUAAAAAGAGGGUUUAUUCAUUAAAUAUUUAUGUAGUGUCUACUAUGUGCCAACUACUGGAAUAGGUUUUGGGGAUUAGGCUUUCAACACAGAGAUAAAAAUGUAUACAUGCUUGGAGAUUAGAAUCUAGUUGGAAUGGGAACGUGAGCAAAAUAAAUGCUAUGAAAAAAAUAAAACUAGAUGACAAGUUCUGAACAAACAUCCAUUGCUCAUUCCUACUGUUUCCUGCCAUGGGAAGACUACCCAGUAGCAUAACCUCCUAGCCCCUUUCUGACCCUUGUCUUAUUUUGCCAAGGCAAGUAGAGGAACCCAUCUGCCUUGCUUGUUUCUCUUCUCCUCUUGGGAGAACAUGUAUGCUCUGCUUCUCCAUCCUUAAGUAUCCAGGGAUGCAGUGAAGAGCUGUCCUCAUGUGGAACAGAGCCAGCCCCAUGGACUUCCUGGGAAAGGUAAAUGAGCCUACUGGAUUCUGGGGACCAGUGCUAGCAAACAUGCUAGUCCAAAUUUAUAAACCACAUUUUGGUCAUAUCCAGCAUUAACAAUUACAAGGGGGCUAUUUUAGUCUUUAUUUUCCUUGUCUGCUUUCUCAGAUGGCUCAGCGAUAUAGUGAGGAAGAUGAAUAUUUUUAAUUGCCUUAUCUUAAAGACAAACAAGAAGGGGUAGGAAGGAAGGAGAGCUGGGGCUACUUAUUCCUCUUUUGGGAGGUAACAGAUGUUGGGCUCUAAAUAAUGAGAACCUAAACGUGAAAAAACAUGGGAAGAGCAUUUCAGGUAGAGGGAACAGAAAAUGCAAAAGGAUGAGGCUGAAGCACAUUCAACAUGUCCAAGAACAAAACACGAAUCCAUGUGGCUGGAGUGACUGAAGGAGAAGAGUCAGUGGGAGAUGUGGGGAAAGACGGUAAGAAUGUUGAGCCUAAAAGUGGCUUAUUUCAAGUGCAAUGGAACACCCUUGGUGGAACUUCAGCACAUUUCUAAAAUUUAUCUACAG